UCUUACGGUGCGUUCACACCGAACGCGAUAGAGGCGGCCAGAGCGUCAGGUUUACAUGUAAAGUCAAUGGAAAGAGGGUGAUGACACGCGAUUGCGCGUCAGGCGAAAAUUCUGAAGCAGAUUUGCGUCGCGAAAACGCCAAAACGCGUGAAACGCGCGUCAGUGUAGCGCGUCUGGCGCGUUUGACUCGCGGAAAAAACCACGCGCGUGAGUUUUUGUGUUGCAUUUUGUGCAUACGCGUCUUUCGCCUCUACCGCUCGAGUUGGAAAAAUUUGAACUCCAGCGUCAAAUCGCGCCGCGUCAACCAAUCAGGAGCCUGGUGACGUGGCUGUAACCAGGUCAAAGGGGCAGAUCAAACCAAAGCCCUUCAUUCUUCAUUCAGUAUGGAGGAAAAACUCAUCAACGCAGUGGCUAAUCGUCCAGAACUAUACGAUGCUAGCUGCUACUUCUACCGGGACAGGAAUAAAAAGGACCGAGCUUGGAGGCACAGAAGUGAGGAGAUCGGGCAACCUCAACCAACUGAUUCUGCUGCAGAGCAUCCCCUGUUGCUUCUCCUGGCUCCCCAGUCCCUGAGCUCCUGCUGCUGCACCCACAGAGAGGAGGACAGCUCCGAGGCAGAUGAGGGACUGGUCCCAGGACGGUCCAUCGGCAGUGGAGCUGGCCAUCCUGGUGUCCCUGAAGAGGCCACGCCAGUCUGCAAUGGAGCAUUUCCUCCUCAGCCUUGUUCCUGCUCUGGAGAGCAGCUGGGUCUUUUUUUUAUU
ensembl:lncRNA